rnacentral:lncRNA from 1 species
AAUUCUACUAUGCUUUUGGCUUUGGUAGUAAGUCAUGGCUGUAGGUUCCACAACUAAAUCAUAGAAUUCAUUGUCAAAGUCAUCAUGAAGAUCAGUAAUUUAAUGAGAUUCUAGCCAAGCCCAGGAAGCAUUUAAAAAGUGUCAGUGAUUUUUGGGAAGGUUUUAUUUAAGAAACACUAUUUUUUCAAUAAAAGUUUUUCAGAGCUUUCAUUUAUCUUUAUCCAAAUUCAGUUUAACAUUCUGCUUUCUUCUUGUGACACUCCAUCUUAGUAUUAAUAUACUGCUUUUGAAAUAGUGAAGCUUUAAUUCUGAAAACAAAUGAAGAUGUUUUUACCAUUAUCUGGGCACAAAAUGGCAUUUUGCCUAUUCUUUCCUGAUGUUUUCAGGGACAAGAGCAAAACCUUGGCAAAGCUUUCAGGAACUUUAAUGGGAAUUCUCCAAGAUUUAAUUUGCAUGACAGAGCUGUACAUGAGUGACAAAAAAAUGUUAGAGACAGGUAAAUGACACCCUUUAGCUGAACACCUAUGUGUGCACAUAAAUGCCAUAAAAUUCCAUUUUUUGACAUAUGGAUUUCAAAUUCAGCUACUCUACAGAAGUUUGUGGCAACGUAUUUCUGCUUGUCAUGUGUUCUGUGGGAGUUUUCCUACGCAGUAUUUAGGAACUUCUAAUGUGCACAGUCUUCUGUGAAAACGCUACUUUUAAGGCUGAAGUUUACCUCCGUAUCAAGAAAAGCAAGAUCUCAAGCAGACGAAAUCCCCUGAAUUCCUUUUUAACUCCAGAGGAAUCUCCUAGUACAUGGGCAGCAGCUUCAAAAUGGUUACGGUGAAUGUAGUCCCAGCAGUUCAACUUUAUCAUGACAGCACACAGUUCUGGUGUGGCGCACAUUACCAAUCUGUUUCCGAAACAACUUUUUCCAUCUUAAGUCCUCAAUGUGAAAAAGAAUGUAUGUAUGUAUUAGUUCAUUGUCAAAGUAGCAGACUUAGAAUUUAUCUAAAUUAAAGCAUAACUUACAGUCUCUUGUGAAUAACUGAAUAACUUAGUUCAAUGUUAGGUCACAGUGGAACAUAGACUAUAACAGGAAUACAUAAAAGCUCUGAAGGGAGCAAA